rnacentral:tRNA from 1 species
AGGAAUAUAGUUAAACAUAACAUUUGAUUUGCAUUCAAAAAGUAUUGAAUCCUCAAUUUUUCUUA